rnacentral:lncRNA from 1 species
UCUUAUAUCACUAAUCAACAGCUACAAAUUGGGAAAAUAAAAAUAAGUUGAAAAGACUGUAUCCGCUCAAAGAUCUUCAUGGAUUAGUGGAUUUAGAUCAUUUUUACCAACUCACGGAUCUUCUUACACACACACAUGUUACAAGUCUCUAACUCAUAAAAUUUGGAAUUUCUUUUAACUUUUUGUGAAUUUUGGGUAUAACUAUUGUACAGAAAUAUUAAUCUUUUCACUUGAUCACCGUAGGAUUGAGUAGAAAACAGACCUUAAAUAUUAGUGAGGAACUAUUCAAGUUUCAAGAGCAUUCAUCCCCAUACAUACCCUUAAUGGCCAAAUAACCCUUAUCCCUAAUCAAAACCAAAUAGAGAAAGCAUGCACCGUUAUUUAAUGCUGUGACGUGAAGAAUCAAAUAAAUAAAAAUAAAACUAUUCAGCUGAGGUCGAGACACACGUUCUGGGAUUAAAAAUCCUAGCUAUUAUGGUUUACGCCUAUUAGUUUGAUAAGUUAGGGUUUUGUUUAACUAUAUAUAAAAGUUCAGGUCGAACAGACAAUGAAAAUAUAGGAUAAUCCACAAAAGACUGCUCACUUGACAAGCAUAGCAUGGAAUUCACUCACCCGAUCAUCAUCACCGGUAACUGUUAACGGAUCCGAUCACCGUCUGAUCGUAUAAGUCCUUUUCUCUUCUGGAACUGAAGUAACAAUAUAUCAAAUACAAGAAAACUGGCGAUAGUUGUGAAUAUUACCAAGUAAUAAUAAAGCAUAGGAUAUUCACUGCUAAAUAAUAUAUAGAUAGAUGAGAAAGAAGAAGACGUACCUAUGCUCAGCCCAAGAGAGAAGAAAGGGAGCAAGGUUCUGUGGGAUAAGG